rnacentral:rRNA from 1 species
ACGCUCGACACCUACGGGAGGCAGCAGUAGGGAAUCUUCCACAAUGGACGCAAGUCUGAUGGAGCAACGCCGCGUGAGUGAAGAAGGUCUUCGGAUCGUAAAACUCUGUUGUUAGAGAAGAACACGAGUGAGAGUAACUGUUCAUUCGAUGACGGUAUCUAACCAGCAAGUCACGGCUAACUACGUACCAGCAGCCGCGGUAAUCUGAGCGGGCUGGCAAGGC